AGAUUGAACGCUGGCGGGAUGCUUUUUACACAUGCAAGCCGAACGGCAGCGCGGACUGGUUCAGGCGAGUGGGCGAACGGGUGAGUAAUGUAUCGGAACGCUCAGGCGGGGAUAACUACGCGAAAGCGUAGCUAAUACCGGCAUACGCCCUUCGGGGGAAAGCGGGGGACCUUUCGGGCCUCGCACUAAUAGAGCGGCCGAUAUCGGAUUAGCUGUUGCGGGGAACGGUCGCUCACUAAGGCGACGACCUGUAGCUGGUCGAGAGGACGACCAGCCACACUGGGACUGAGACACGGCCCAGACUCCUACGUGAGGCAGCAGUGGGACUUUGGACAAUGGGGGAAACCCUGAUCCAGCCAUCCGUGGCGGACAAGGCCUUCGGGUUGUAAAGCACUUUUGGCAGGAAAGAAACGGCACGUGAUAAUACCCCGUGCAACUGACGGUACCUUAAGAAUAAGCACCGGCUAACUACGCGCCAGCAGCCGCGGUAAUACGUAGGGUGCAAGCGUUAAUCGGAAUUACUGGGCGUAAAGCGUGUGCAGGCGGUUCUGAAAGAAAGAUGUGAAAUCCCAGAGCUUAACUUUGGAACUGCAUUUUUAACUACCGAGCUAGAGCAAACAGAGGGAGGUAAUUCUGCGUAGCAGGAAAUGCGUAGAUAUGCGGAGGAACACCGAUGGCGAAGGCGGCUCUCCUGGGACAACACCGACGCUCAUGCACGAAAGCGUGGGACAAACAGAUUAGACACCCCGGUAGUCCACGCCUCAAACGAUGUCAACUAGCUGUUGGGCCUUCGCCUGCAGCAGCUAAUGCGUGAAGUUGACCGCCUGGGGAGUACGGUCGCAAGACAAAACUCAAAGGAAUUGACGGGGACCCGCACAAGCGGUGGAUGAUGUGAUUACACUCGAUGCAACGCGAAAAAACCUUACCUACUCCUUGACAUGUUCAAACUCAAAGAGAUUUGGGAGUUUCGCAAGAGAACCGGAACACAGGUGCCGUAUGGCUGUCAGUCAUGUGUCGAGAUGCUGGUUAAGCGUCCUCGCAACGAGCGCAACCCUUGUCAUUAGUUGCUACGAAAGGGCACUCUAAUGAGACUGCCGGUGACAAACCGGAGGAAGGUGGGGAUGACGUCAAGUCCUCAUGGCCCUUAUGGGUAGGUCACACGUCAUACAAUGGUCGGGACAGAGGGUCGCCAACCCGCGAGGGGAGCCAAUCCUGGAACCCGAUCGUAGUCCGAUCGCAGUCUGCAACUCGGACUGCGUGAAGUCGGAAUCGCUAGUAAUCGCGGAUCAGCAUGUCGCGGUGAAGAUGUCCCCGGGUCUUGUACACACCGCCCGUCACAAUUACGGGAGUGGGUUUUACCAGAAGUAGUUAGCCUAACCGGGUAAGGAGGGCGAUUACCACGGUAGGAUUCAUGACUGGGGUGAAGUCGUAACAAGGCAA
rnacentral:rRNA from 1 species